AUGAUUUCACAGACUCAUCUGAUCUGGCUCCUGGUGCUGUGGAUUCAGGAUUCCGAGGGGCAGAUUGUGAUGACUCAGACUCCAGAAUUCCUGGCAGUGUCUCCAGGAGGCAGAGUCACCAUCAACUGCAAAGCCAGUUCCAGUGUUGGCAGCUACAUGGCCUGGUACCAACAGAAAUCAGGACAAGCUCCUAAGCGCCUCAUACACAGCGCUUCCACCCGUCCCUCUGGGAUCCCAGACCGGUUCAGUGGCAGCGGGUCUGGCACCGACUUCACUUUUACAAUCAGCCGGGUUGAGGCGGAUGAUGCUGGAGAUUAUUAUUGUCAGCAGGGACAGAGCUUCCCUCUCACAGUGUUAAGCCUCUUCCCUCACCUGUCUCACGGUGGAAUCAUGGAAUCCUCCGACUCUUUGAUCAUGACCAAGACAUCGUAUAUACCUGCCCCUUAA